GAAAUGCGAUAAGUAGUGUGAAUUGCAGAAUUCAGUGAAUCAUCGAAUCUUUGAACGCACAUUGCGCCCCUUGGUAUUCCAUGGGGCAUGCCUGUUCGAGCGUCAUCUACACCCUCAAGCUCUGCUUGGUGUUGGGCGUCUUUGUCCCGCCUCCGCGCGCGGACUCGCCCCAAAUUCAUUGGCUGCGGUCCUUGCCUCCUCUCGCGCAGCACAUUGCGCUUCUCGAGGUGUUGCGGCCCGCGUCCAGAAAGCAAUCGUUACCGUCUUUGACCUCGGAUCAGGUAGGGAUACCCGCUGAACUUAAGC
rnacentral:misc_RNA from 1 species